rnacentral:rRNA from 1 species
GAACGCUGGGCGGCGUGCCUUACACAUGCAAGUCGAGCGAGGCGGCCCGCAAGGGGUCAGUCGAGCGGCGAACGGGUGAGUAACGCGUGGAUAACCUGCCCAGAGGUGGGGGAUAACCCGGGGAAACUCGGGCUAAUACCGCAUGAUACCGAAAGGUCAAAGGGGGCUCGCAAGGGCUCUCGCCAUAGGAGGGGUCCGCGUCCGAUUAGCUAGUUGGUAGGGUAAUGGCCUACCAAGGCGACGAUCGGUAGCCGGCCUGAGAGGGUGAUCGGCCACACUGGAACUGAGACACGGUCCAGACUCCUACGGGAGGCAGCAGUGGGGAAUUUUGCGCAAUGGGCUAACGCCUGACGCAGCAACGCCGCGUGGAGGAUGAAGGUCUUUGGAUUGUAAACUCCUGUCAGCAGGGAAAAAGCGAAUCGGCCUAACACGCCGGUGAGUUGAUUGUACCUGCAGAGGAAGCCCCGGCUAACUCUGUGC